AUUGAACGCUGGCGGCAUGCCUUACACAUGCAAGUCGAACGGCAGCACGGGAGCAAUCCUGGUGGCGAGUGGCGAACGGGUGAGUAAAGUAUCGGAACGUGCCCAGUCGUGGGGGAUAACGUAGCGAAAGUUACGCUAAUACCGCAUACGAUCUAUGGAUGAAAGCGGGGGAUCGCAAGACCUCGCGCGAUUGGAGCGGCCGAUAUCAGAUUAGGUAGUUGGUGGGGUAAAGGCUCACCAAGCCGACCAUCUGUAGCUGGUCUGAGAGGACGACCAGCCACACUGGGACUGAGACACGGCCCAGACUCCUACGGGAGGCAGCAGUGGGGAAUUUUGGACAAUGGGCGCAAGCCUGAUCCAGCCAUGCCGUGUGCAGGAUGAAGGCCUUCGGGUUGUAAACUGCUUUUGUACGGAACGAAAAGGUUUGACUUAAUACGUUGGACUCAUGACGGUACCGUAAGAAUAAGCACCGGCUAACUACGUGCCAGCAGCCGCAGUAA
rnacentral:rRNA from 1 species